ACAAUGAGCAUUUAUUUAAAAAAUUAUCACGGACAACACGCUUCGCUAAUAAUGCAAAUCAGCAAAAGUGCAAAACGAAUGAAAAAUAUCACCAGAAAAUCGCAUUAUGGUGGGCAUGUGAAAAUAUUAAAUAGUGGUUUAGUGUGUUUUCUGACCGCACCAUUAAUAAUGCACCUGCCUUCUAUCUCGAUGUAUUUAUUCACUGGUGCGUAUUGUUUUGCAGUAGCCUGGAAACACCGAAAGUCCUGAGCUACCACACACACAUUUCAGCCUCUUCUGUGCUCUACAUGGCCAGACUCCAGGAUUCACUCAACUUGAUUAAAUAAAUUACACAAAGCCAACUUCGUUCUCUAAUAGUUUUGUGUGAAUUUCGGCCGAGAUAAUAGCCACACAACAAUUAUUAGCUGAAGUUUGGUCGUGACAACCCUAAUGUUAACUUUGUUCCUUUAGAUGUUAAACAUUUUACGAUGAAACAUUAAAUUCAAUUAGUCCAUGCUGAGCGGGAACAGUAAAUAAACGAAAAAUUACA